GGGGAAGUAUGGUUGCAAAGCUGAAACUUGCAGGAAGUGACAGAAGGGCACCACCAGGAGUCGAGCCUGCAGCUAUAUUUGACUAAACACGGGAAAACAGUAUACAUUUACCAUUUAUGGGGAUUUAUUGUCUAGCCUGCGACUUUUGUCGUGGCUACGCGUACGGCUGCCGCACUGGGGUAAGCUAACUUCUUAAAAAGCUUUAUAAUUUAGAAGAUAGAAGACCUGGAUGCCUCAUACUAUGUAUAUAGAUGCCUCAUGUUAUGUUUCAUUCAGUCUCAUGACCAAUGUCCUUGACCUUAUUUUCAUGGUUCAGUG
rnacentral:rRNA from 1 species